GACGAACGCUGGCGGCGUGCUUAACACAUGCAAGUCGAACGGAAAGGCCCUGCUUUUGUGGGGUGCUCGAGUGGCGAACGGGUGAGUAACACGUGAGUAACCUGCCCUUGACUUUGGGAUAACUUCAGGAAACUGGGGCUAAUACCGGAUAGGAGCUCCUGCUGCAUGGUGGGGGUUGGAAAGUUUCGGCGGUUGGGGAUGGACUCGCGGCUUAUCAGCUUGUUGGUGGGGUAGUGGCUUACCAAGGCUUUGACGGGUAGCCGGCCUGAGAGGGUGACCGGCCACAUGGGGACUGAGAGACGGCGCAGACUGCAACGGGAGGCAGCAGUGGGGAGUAUGGCACAGUGGGCGGAAGCCUGAUGCAGCAGCGCCGCGUGCGGGAUGACGGCCUUCGGGGUGUAAACCGCUUUCGCCUGUGACGAAGCGUGAGUGACGGUAAUGGGUAAAGAAGCACCGGCUAACUACGUG
rnacentral:rRNA from 1 species